CUGUCACAUUACUGUGUGGUUUAGCAUUGUUGUUAUAAGUAUCAUAUAAUAAUAUAAUAAUACUUAUAUACGUAUUUAUUAUGCAAAUAAACAACUAACCUACACUUACAGUAUAUUACAAAUAUUUAAUCAAAUGACUCUUGGAAAGAGUUUGGAAAGAGGAGCUUCAAGGUGCCCCUUGUCCAGAAUACCCACAAUCGACGGAAGAGGACUGGAGCACAACCCAAGACCCAUCUGGAGGACUGGGGAUAUAUACUCCACUCACACCAGUCUGAACAGGACAGCUUGUCCCAGGACCCAUCUCACCUAGCACUCACUCAUGUCUGUGGCAGACUGGGACAUGUUGCCAAACCCACAAAGCGGGUCCAGGCCUCAUCCAUGUGGCGGUGCUGGAACAAGGUCUUCCACUUCCUGGACCACUGGAGACGCAUCGACUCACCCAGACCUCAUACAGCAGAACAUCAAGAGGCACUCAAAACACCUGCAGUUGUCAGCUUUGAGGUGAAGGUCUAGCUUUAAAAGUAGAACAGGAUGUAGGGAAUAGGGUGCCAUUUGGAAACCAAACAAGAUUUCUAGUGGUAGUAGUUCCUUUCAAAGGUACAGGAUCUUGGAUGAUCUAGGAUCAGCUUAUGAGGUUGUAACCAAUCUUAAAUUUGAAUGUAAAACAUCUGGGUGAAAAGCCUUGAACUAAGCUUAGAUCACCUUGGGGGAUGGAUGUACACAAUGUGUGACCUUAAUUCCAACCGUCAGUCUGCAGUAACCACCAUGACGCAUCACUCCUUGGAGCUAAUGCAGCCCACUUAACACACUUACUGAGGCCAUAAGGCUGUGUGUGUCAGACCUAGGCUUAAAUUGUAUUUAUUGCACUUUGGGACUUUUUCGUUGGUUAGGUUGGGAUAGGGAAGGUCAAAAAUGACAUGCAAAGGGGCCUUUCAUUCCUCUUUCCUCUACUGUGUCUUCCCCUUUUCCCGCUACUCCUUCCUGAAUGUGGACAGCUGUGAGGAGUCGACUGAGGCAGCAUGCCAUAUCCUGUGUCAGCAGGUCAACUGUACUGUUAAGACCCUGGUAUGUGACCAUAAC
ensembl:lncRNA